rnacentral:rRNA from 1 species
UACAGAGGUCCCAAGCGUUGUUCGGAUUUACUGGGCGUAAAGGGUGCGUAGGUGGUGAGGUAAGUCUGAUGUGAAAUCUCCGAGCUUAACUCGGAAAUGGCAUUGGAAACUACCUUGCUAGAGGGUUGGAGGGGGGACUGGAAUACUUGGUGUAGCAGUGAAAUGCGUAGAUAUCAAGUGGAACACCAGUGGCGAAGGCGACUCUUUGGCCUGUAACUGACGCUGAGGCGCGAAAGCGUGGGGAGCAAACAGG